rnacentral:piRNA from 1 species
UGGCCCCUUACCCUUCCAGAGAUGAAGCCC